CUCUGGAUCACUGGAUCAAGUCGACAGUGGAGCUGGCAAUGGCGAAGAAAGUUCUGGAUCCACUUUAAUCGGAUGAAAAGGCAGCAGAAUGUGUUCACCUUGUCUUGGAGAAUACUCGGAUCUUUUGCACUGUAGAGCAGGCAAGCAUCAUCAGCAAACAAUUUGCUCAAGAAAUUGGAGCAGUUAGACAGAUCAUUUAUGUAAAUUAAGAAACCAAGAGGACCUAACACACUACCUUGAGGAAUUCCGUGAUGAAUGGGCAACAUCGGAGACUGCUGAGAAUCCACCUCCACAUAUUGGAAUCGACCCGAAAAAUUCAAUAUCAUUUGGAGGACCUCUGCAGGAGUAGUUACUUCAAGAAAGAAAGAGCUUUGCAGAGGAGCACCCAAGAAGUACGCGAAUGAUUUUGAGCUAUGAGAGAGCGGUAUCAAUGUAGUUGUUACACAUCGACUCGACCUCAGAUCUGAAAGAGUCGCUACAAAAUUUUGUCAAAUCUCGCUUCAUCCGAGUUUUUGUCUUGGAAGAAACAUUUAAACCAGAGAUUGUACAAAUUACAGGAAA